CGCCUUAGAGUUUGAUCCUGGCUCAGAGCGAACGCUGGCGGCAGGCCUAACACAUGCAAGUCGAACGAACUCUUCGGAGUUAGUGGCGGACGGGUGAGUAACACGUGGGAACGUGCCUUUAGGUUCGGAAUAACUCAGGGAAACUUGUGCUAAUACCGAAUGUGCCCUUCGGGGGAAAGAUUUAUCGCCUUUAGAGCGGCCCGCGUCUGAUUAGCUAGUUGGUGAGGUAAAGGCUCACCAAGGCGACGAUCAGUAGCUGGUCUGAGAGGAUGAUCAGCCACAUUGGGACUGAGACACGGCCCAAACUCCUACGGGAGGCAGCAGUGGGGAAUCUUGCGCAAUGGGCGAAAGCCUGACGCAGCCAUGCCGCGUGAAUGAUGAAGGUCUUAGGAUUGUAAAAUUCUUUCAGUAGGGACGAUAAUGACGGUACCUACAGAAGAAGCCCCGGCUAACUUCGUGCCAGCAGCCGCGGUAAUACGAAGGGGGCUAGCGUUGCUCGGAAUUACUGGGCGUAAAGGGAGCGUAGGCGGACAUUUAAGUCAGGGGUGAAAUCCCGGGGCUCAACCUCGGAAUUGCCUUUGAUACUGGGUGUCUUGAGUGUGAGAGAGGUAUGUGGAACUCCGAGUGUAGAGGUGAAAUUCGUAGAUAUUCGGAAGAACACCAGUGGCGAAGGCGACAUACUGGCUCAUUACUGACGCUGAGGCUCGAAAGCGUGGGGAGCAAACAGGAUUAGAUACCCUGGUAGUCCACGCCGUAAACGAUGAUUGCUAGUUGUCGGGAUGCAUGCAUUUCGGUGACGCAGCUAACGCAUUAAGCAAUCCGCCUGGGGAGUACGGUCGCAAGAUUAAAACUCAAAGGAAUUGACG
rnacentral:rRNA from 1 species